CACGUGGCAAACAGCGAUUGGUUGGAGUGACGUAGCAGCCUACAAUAGUUAACGCUCAAAAGUAAACCAUCUUUGUUGACAAAUCGGCAUUCGAGAUCUCUUCCAACGCAAAAGAGCUUUCAAUCAAGAAUGGCUUUAAACGGGGCAGCUCCACCACGAGGAAGUGCAGCAGCAGCUGCAGCCAACUUACGGAGGAGAAGAACGGGCGGAACUGGUGGAGCGGCAGGUGGGACAGCUGGCAACAUGCUCCAGUUCUACACCGAUGAUGCACCUGGAUUGAAGAUCUCUCCAAAUGUUGUUCUUGUGAUGAGCAUUGGGUUCAUUGCAUUUGUUGCUGUACUUCAUGUCAUGGGUAAGCUCUACUUUGUCCGUAAGGAUUAAUGUAAGUCUUGAGUUCUGCUUUUUGUUCGGUUAAGUGACCUGAGAUGUUUCCUUGUCGAUUUUUGAAAUCGUUUGAAUGAUAUAUUUUAUUAUUUAGUAGAAAGAAACCGCUUUGGCUUAUUUA